rnacentral:rRNA from 1 species
UACGUAGGGUGCGAGCGUUUGUCCGGAAUUACUGGGCGUAAAGAGCUCGUAGGUGGUUUGUCGCGUUGUUCGUGAAAACCUCACAACUCAAUUGUGGGCGUGCGGGCGAUACGGGCAGACGUGGAGUACUGCAGGGGAGACUGGAAUUCCUGGUGAGCGGUGGAAUGCGCGAUAUCAGGAGGAACACCGGUGGCGAAGGCGGGUCUCUGGGCAG